rnacentral:lncRNA from 1 species
GCGAAAUUUAAAAAGGCAGGCGCAAGCAAAGAAAAUAACGGUUUUCUCUCAGUUUGUACUUUGCAGCAGAAGCAAAAUAUCACCAAACAUGUAUGCAGUUGUGGAUUUUUUUGAAGAAGGGACAUCAGAAAUUGUUCCAGUGGAAAAUAUUGAAGUUUGAUGGGACGUGCGACAAUUUGAAAGAAUGUAUUGCUAUUUGGCAGCGCACGGGGAAGAGAUAUCCUGCCUACAUCAUAGCUCUGGAUGGGCUCGUUCAGAAGUACUCCUCAUUGAGAGACCACAGGGAUAUGUCUCGAGGACACUGCAGCCAUUUUGCUCCUCCUCUACAUCCUUCAAGAAUAUCCAAAUGGACUGUACGUCACAGACAUGUGUGUAAAGUUCCCAUCACCUACAAUAAGAAUAGAUGGGAAUCCCUUUUGCGUCAAAGUCUUCCUUGAUGGAGAGGAGUAUCUCACUGAAGAGCCUGAGGACAUCUCCAUGGGAUUGGGAGUGUCGAUGGGGUUCCAUUUCCUUUUCAAUAUUUAGUAUGCAGCAUCAGUGAAAAGCACUAUGCUGUGCAUUCAGAAAUGUGUUGUGGGAAUUGAUGAGGGGGGUAAAUUACCAACAAAUGUUGAAUGGCAAACUUUUUGCUGCAAGAGUGAUAUGGGAGACCAGAGCACAAAGUUACACAUGGUGAGUUGUACCAGCCAAAAUUACUCCAAUUAGAAACCACUUAGAAAGCUGUUAUUCGAUGUGCUAAUGAUUUGUUAGUGUCUCUACAUGCCUUUUAGUUUUAUUAUUGACCUGUGAAAUAUUUUUCAUUUAUCUAAACAUAUAAUUUUUAUCAGUAAGAUGGGGUCUUUUGAUUGGUAUAGUUGAAGUCAAUAAUUAUUGUGUUUUUGUUUAUCGAUUGCAUAUUUGGAUUUCUGAAACUUUCAUAGUCAAUCAAAUUAAUUUGUGUCUUUACAGGUUUGCCACUCAAUGUUUUUUAUUUAUUUAUUUCACCUUUAUUUAACCAGGUAGGCCAGUUGAGAACAAGUUCUCAUUUACAACUGCGACCUGGCCAAGAUAACCCUAGAGGUUAGGUGGGACGUUAGCGUCCCACUCUAUUCAACAGCCAGUGGAAGAGCGUGGCGCGAACUACAAAAACCUCAAAAAUGCUAUAAUUUCACUAUUUCAAACAUACGACAAUUUUACACCAUUUGAAAGAUAAGACUCUCGUUAAUCUAACCACAUUGUCCGAUUUCAAAAAGGCUUUACAGCGAAAACAAAACAUUAGAUUAUGUUAGGAGCGUACAUAGACACAAAUAACCACACAGCCAUUUUUCAAGCAAGCAUAUAUGUCACAAAAACCCAAAACACAGCUAAAUGCAGCACUAUCCUUUGAUGAUCUUCAUCAGAUGACACUCCUAGGACAUUAUGUUAUACAAUACAUGCAUGUUUUGUUCAAUCAAGUUCAUAUUUAUAUCAAAAAAACAGCUUUUUACAUUGGCGUGGGAUGUUCAGAAAUUGUAUUCCCACCGAAAACUUCCGGUGAAUUUACUAAAUUACUCAUGAUAAACGUUGACAAAAUACAUAACAAUUAUUUUAAGAAUUAUAGAUACAGAACUCCUUUAUGCAAUCGCUAUGUCCGAUUUUAAAAUAGCUUUUCGGCGAAAGCACAUUUUGCAAUAUUCUGAGUACAUAGCUCAGCCAUCACGGCUAGCUAAUUUGACACCCGCCAAGUUCGGGGCUCACUAAACUCAGAAUUAGUAUUAGAAAAAUUGGAUUACCUUUGCUGUUCUUCGUCAGAAUGCACUCCCAGGACUGCUACUUCCACAACAAAUGUUGUUUUUGUUCCAAAUAAUCCAUAGUUCUGUGCAAAUACCUCCAUUUUGUUAGUGCGUUCAGGUCACUAUCCAAAGGGUAACGCGCGAGCAUAUUUCGAGACAAAAUAUUUCAAAAUGUUCCAUUACCGUACUUAGAAGCAUGUCAAACGCUGUUUAAAAUCAAUUUUUAAUGGUAUUUUUCUCGUAAAAUAGCGAUAAUAUUCCAACCGGACAAUGCUGUAUUCAUUCAAAAAGGAAGAGAUGACAAGGUCUCGUGACCGCGCAUUUCCAAUCUCUUAGUCACUAGCCAGUCCACUGACAAACUGUGCUCCUGUUAUCUGCCCAGAGACAGGAGACGCCUCAAUCCGCUUUCUGAACGCUUUAGAGAGCCAAUGGAAGCCUUAGAAAGUGCUACAUAACCCCACGGGCACUGUAGUUUCGAUAGAGAAGCAAAUGGAGAACUACAAAUUCGCAGACAGGCCACUUCCUGCUUGGAAUUCUCUCAGGUUUUUGCCUGCCAUAUGAGUUCUGUUAUACUCACAGACACCAUUCAAACAGUUUUAGAAACUUCAGUGUUUUCUAUCCAAAUCUACUAAUAAUCUUCUAAUAAUAUUAAUAAUACGCAUAUUCUCGUUUCUGGGAAAGAGUAGUAAUCAGUUUAAAUCGGGUACAUUUUUUAUCCGGCCGUGAAAAUACUGCCCCCUAGCCCAGACAGGAUAAAGCAAAGCAGUGCGAAAAAAACAACACAGAGUAACACAUGGGAUAAACAAACGUACAGUCAAUAACACAAUAUAAAAAGUUCAACUGUUGGAGUCAGUUGGAGUGCUGGUGCGCACUGCCUUUGUAUCACAGGCUUGCAGAAGCUUAAGCUUAAUAAUAGACCCACCAAACCUUCAUAGAAGUUUCCAAACUUGAUUAGGGUGAUAUCAAAAGUAAGUCAAACCACAGGGAAUAUAGGAGCAGGCUAUUAUAUUGCAGUUGGAACUUAAUUUGGCCAAAGAAAAUGGCUCAACAGAAUGAAAUAUGGUUUAAACCUUCACAAAAGUUCUGAGCAGGCUAUAUUGCAGCAAUUAUCAACAAAGGCAGGUGCCUGCCCUACUCAACAAAUGACAGAAAUAGGCCUACUUAUCUUAAACAAAAUAUGAAUCACACAAUUAAAAAGACAGAUCGAAUUGAAUUUAGCCAGGGGCGUAACUGUCGCUGGGGACGGACGAGACAUCACCCCCCCACGUUCUGAAAUAUAAUUUUUGUCCCCCCCAGUUUUAUCAUUGCACUGUAAUACACGGCAAUGGUGUGCUUUAGGACCAUGCAGACACCUCAGAGCGGUUGGGUAGGCCGUUUUGUGGUUUCAGUUGGCUGGAUUUAGGACCGCAUAGACAUCACUGAGUGUGCGGACAGGCUGUGUGAAGGCAAAGCUGCUGAAAGGCUAGCGUAUAGGACCAGCAUGGGAGAGAUGCUGUCUGGGUGUGUUGCGCAAGUUGUAAAGGCAAGCAGGGCAGAAACUGGCUACGGAAGUAGCUGGCAAGGUAACUGCUGUUUGACAGAAGAAGCUAAAACAUUUAUUCCCAGUGCUGAGCUAGUAGUGUAACUGACAUGUAACGUUAGCUAAUGUUUCAUCCUCUCUCGACUGAAGUGAAUAAACUACUAGCAGCUAGUUGGCUAGCUAGUAGCUACCAAAGCCAGUUCAGCUCUAGCUAGCUAUCUGUCAGGUAGCGUAUCUAACAGCUGUUGUUUGUAUGGAAAUGUUUUGUAGCCUUUGUUAAUAAAGUACAUUUCAUGAUGUAUCAUUAGCUAGAGUUAGCCAAAAGUUGGCUAACGUUAGCUAGCUAGCUACCUAACUUUGGCUAUUAUUUUUUCCUCAAUCACACUAUACCUGAUUCAAAUGAUUAAACCAGCGGCCAAACGAUUGAAGACCAAUAUUCUGAUGUUUUUUCAGCGCAAUGUGAGUUAUUAGUCAGUAUAGCAAUGUAACGUUAUUGAUCUGUCAGUUUCCCUAGCUAAUUCCCUACUUUUCACACUGACACGGUAUAAACAGCUCUACAGGCUUCACUGUCAUGGUGCGCAGUCAGUAUACAAGAUUAUUCUAAUCAUGUCUCAGCAGGAUCAGAUGGUAACAGGUGUCGCUGCAGCAUCAGACAGGCAGGGAAGUCCCGUCUAUGGAGCUCAGGAUCAGAUGGUGACGGGUCUCAGCAGGGUCAGGCAGCCAGGGAAGGCCUGUCUGUGACAGCGCAGAGGUGAACCUUUGCAGAUACAACACUUUAUUCUCUCUGUGCAGCAAUUACUGGACAAGCAAGAAGCUUCAAAGAUUGAAACUAUUUUGAAGGCAGUCUGACAACCUCUAAAGUUUAUUUCCAAACUAUAUCAAGGGUUGAUAGGCUUUUCCUGAUGACACAAAACAUAUAAGAACAAAAAUAUAAGGAAGACCUGGUAGAUGCUAUUGAUUAUGAUGAAUGGAUACAGAUGUUAGAAUGCCCAGUCAUGUUCAUAUCAUCUCAGAUAUAAAUUACUGCCGUUUAAGACCAUCCAUAGAACAUACUAUAUGCCAGUGAAACUGAAUGUCAUGCACUCAGAAAUGUAAUUCUUCUGCUGGCUGAAUUCUGGCAAAGACUAUGUUCUUUUAUCUCAGCAUGUCUACAGAUUCUCCCUUCUUCCUGUUUCUGUUUGCUUGGAAAUGUUGAUACUGGAGACUUAUCUGAAGAAACUGUAACCUAGCAUUUAUAGCGGCUAAGAAAUAGAGUGCCAUUAAUUGGAAGGUUGGUUAUCCUCCAACAAUGGAUGGAAGAAAUGUCAAGUUAUGCAUCACUAGAUUUAAUUUAUUACAACAUUAAGGGUAUACUGUGCAACUUUCAUAAGGUGUGGAUGCCUUAUAUGGAAUACUGUACAACAAAAGGAGUCUUGAAAACAUCUCCAUGUCAGGGGAGAAACCUAUUUAGGCAAUCCCUAGCUGCUGGGCAGCUCAGUCCUGGCCCUGGGGGUCUGCCAUAUUGUUGGUGGUCACUUUGGCCUUCGCCUAACACACCUGAAACCAAUGACGACUGUUUUACCAAGAUCCUAAAGCUGACGGGGUGUGUUGGGGCGCUGCAGGGUGGGGUGACCCAGCUACAUUGUGUGAGAGUAAAAAGAGCUCUACAGUACUAAUACGCCUAUGAAUUAUGGGGAUACCUAGUCAGUUGUACAACUGAAUGCCUUCAACUGAAAUUUGUCUUCCACAUUUAACCCAACCCCUCUGAAUCAGAGAGGUGCGGAGGGCUGCCUUAAUUGACAUCCACAUCUUUGGCACCCGGGGAACAGUGGGUUAUCUGCCUUGCUCGGGCAGCACAACUGAUUUUUACCUUGUCAGCUCAGGGAUUCGAUCCAACAACCUUUCGAUUACUGGCCCUACACUCUAGCCACUAGGCUACCUGCCACUAUUCCUAUAUGGAGGAUGUACUGUUUCUGUGUGUUUAUACAUUGGUGUGUGUGUUUUUAUGAAACUUUGUUUUCAAAACUUUUCCCUUGAAAAAUACAAAAAAAAGAUGGGAAGGAAAUUGUGUUGGGGAGAGAGUUGAGUUAUUGACUAGACUGGUGGGGGUCUGGUGUGCAGGCGGCUCGGGCUGGCUGGGCGGUCUGGCUGAAAUUUUAUAGAGGAUGUCUUAAUAAAGACAAUCAAAAGUUAUGUCUUUGCAUUUUAUUUUUAAGAGUUGUUCAUUUGUUAGGCUAUUGGUUAAAGGUGCAACACAAUAUUGAUUAUUGCAUUAUCAUUGAUCUGGUUCAGUCUUAUCAAUCACGUAAACCAACACAAUCUCACACAAAAUUUGUGCAAAUAUGUACAAAACUUAUUUCAGCAGAUUUUGUGUGAAAAUACAAACAUUUUUGUGCAACUUCAUUCGUAGGGAAAAACUUCUGAACAAUCUGUUGAAAGUUAUUGGUGCAUUGCAUUUUGGGCAAUGGUGUUCUACAGUGCCUUUUUUUGUGUCCCACAUUUAUUUAUACAAAAAAAAAAAAAACAUAUUGUUAAUCGACCGAAAUACUCAUAAUAGUAGCCUUACGUUGUUUUUUUACUUGUAUUUAUGCCAAUGCUGUUUUCUAUGCUUGUUUUCGCUUAAUCAUUUGGGAUGCUGGUGCUAUGUCGGAUGUUAUAAGGGUUGCCAGAUUGGAGUAAAUAUCUGUAUUUGUCUUUUUUUGAAGUAUUGAUGAAGGUAUUUGAUUGGGGGAUACAUUUUCAUGAUGGGAAAUUCAUUCAUGAAUAAAUGUGCGGAAACAGAAGACCUGCAAAAAAAAAUCUGUUUAGUUUAAAUUCCCCUGGUGCAACUGCAUGGUAUUUGCAACUAUAAUGUGUCUGGACCAUGAAGAAUUACAGUUGUAUGAAAAAGUUUGGGCACCCCUAACAAUUUCCAUUUAUAAAUAAUUGGGUGUUUGGAUCAGCAAUUUCAUUUUGAUCUAUCAAAUAACUGAUGGGCACAGUAAUAUUUGAGUAGUGAAAUUAGGUUUAUUGGACUAACAGAAAAUGUGCAAUAUGCAUCAAAACAAAAUUAGACAGGUGUAUAAAUUUGGGCACCCCAAUAUAAAAAUCACAUCAAUAUUUACUAGAGCCUCCUUUUGCUAAAAUAACAGCCUCUAGACGCUUCCUAUAGCCUCUAAUGAGUGUCUGGAUUCUGGAUGAAGGUAUUUUGGACCAUUCCUCCUUACAAAACAUCUCCAGUUCAGUUAGGUUUGAUGGUUGCCGAGCAUGGACAGCCCGCUUCAAAUCAUCCCACAGAUUCUCAAUGAUAUUCAGGUCUGGGAUGGCCAUUACAGAACAUUGUACUUGUUCCUCUGCAUAAAUUCCCGGGUAGAUUUUGAGCAGUGUUUUGGGUCGUUGUCUUGUUGAAGUAUUCCCAAGAAUCUGCUGAUAUUGAGUGGAAUCCAUGCGACCCUCAACUUUAACAAGAUUCCCAGUACCGGCACUGGCCACACAGCAUGAUGGAACCCCCACCAAAUUUUACUAUGGGUAGCAAGUGUUUUUCUUGGAAAGCUGUGUUCUUUUCCCGCCAUGCAUAACAUCCCUUGUUAUGACCAAAUAACUCAAUCUUUAUUUCAUCAGUCCACAGCACCUUAUUCCAAAAUGAAGCUGGCUUGUCCAAAUCUGCGUUUGCAUACCACAAGCGACUCUGUUUGUGGCGUGUAUGCAGAAAAGGCUUCUUCCGCAUCACUCUCCCAUACAGCUUCUCCUUGUGCAAAGUGCGCUGAAUUGUUGAACGAUGCACAGUGACACCAUCUGCAGCAAGAUGAUGUUGUAGGUCUUUGGAGGUGGUCUGUGGGCGGUUUUUCUCACCAUCCUUUGCCUCUCCGAUAUUUUACUUGGCCUGCCACUUCUGGCAUUAACAAGAACUGUGCCUGUGGUCUUCCAUUUCCUCACUAUGUUCCUCACAAUGGACACUGACAGCUUACAUCUCUGCGAUAGCUUUUUGUAGCCUUCCUCUAAACCACAAUGUUGAACAAUCUUUGUUUUCAGAUCAUUUGAGAGUUGUUUUGAGGCCCCCCAUGUUGCCACUCUUCAGAGGAGAGUCAAAGAGAACAACAACUUGCAAUUGGCCACCUUAAAUACCUUUUCUCAUGAUUGGAUGCACUUGUCUAUGAAGUUCAAGGCUUAAUGAGCUCACCAAACCAAUUGUGUGUUCCAAUUAAACAGUGCUAAGUAGUUACAGGUAUUCAAAUCAACAGAAUGACAAGGGUGCCCACAUUUUUGCAUAGCCUAUUUUUCACAUCUGAUUUAA